GUCGUCGUUGUUGUUGUUGGCAUUGAGCGGGCAUACCUUCCUCCAGGUGAGCACAGGUGUGGGCACGCCCACCGCCUCACAGCUGAGGUACACCUGAGCGCCGCUCACGUUGAAGACCCGGCCGGGGGGCGUGACGAUGAGAGGAGCUGCACAGACACGAUGAGACAGGUCUGGUCUAGCAAGUAAAAAGUCUCCAUGCUCACCUUGCCAAGAAUGACGAGCUGGUAGGCGGCGAGCGGCAGCGUCACGAGCGUCCUGACUGACAGCGUGCAGACGACGAUGCUGAGCCACCACGGCAGACCGCUGCUCUGCUGGACGUGGACCAGGAAGUCUUCGGCCAGGUGCACAGGUGCCGAGUGCGACACCUGAUGGUACCACCCAGAAGCGGCGUCCCCAGAGGACAGCCGGUGUUGCGCCGAGCUGUCAGAGUGAGUGAUGGCCGAGGGCGAAGACUUCCUGAGGAACGCCGCGCCACAGGCGGUUCGGACGGGCAGCCGCAGAAGGCGGAGCCCCCCCAAAGCCAGCAUGGUAGCACCCCCCCUGCUCCUCAACCACGUCACCUGUCAGGGGUCAUCACAAAAUGGAAGUUUAUUUCAAUCAUGACAAAUGCAAAACUUUGCUACAGCUGACAAAGUGAAGUCUAAUCUCAUUUUAAAGGCCUACUGAAACCCACUACUACCCAUCAUGCAGUCUGAUAGUUUAUAUAUCAAUAAUGAAAUAUUAACAUUGCAACACAUGCCAAUACGGCCUUUUUAGUUUACUAAAUUGCAAUUUUAAAUUUUGCGCGAAGUAUCCUGUUGAAUACGUGACGGUAUGAUGACGCGUGCGCGUGACGUCACGGAUUGCAGUGGACAUUUUGUUCCAGCCCCGAUCCCAGCUAUAAGUCGUCUGCUUUAAUCGCAUAAUUACACAGUAUUCUGGACAUCUGUGUUGCUGAAUCUUUUGCAAUUUGUUCAAUUAAUAAUAGAGACGUCAAAGAAGAAAGAUGUCGGUGGGAAGCGGUGUAUUGCGGCUGCCUUUGGCAACACAAACACAGCCGGUGUUUUCUUGUUUACAUUCCCGAAAGAUGACGGUGAAGCUUUACUAUGGAACAGAGCGGUCAAGCGAACAUGGUUCCCUACCACAUGUCAACCGGCAGGUUUCGGUGAGAAAAUUGUGGUAAUAAGUUGGCUCUUACUGUAGACAUGAGCGGAGAGCACCUGUCAAAGAGGCAGCUGCGAAUUCCUCUCUUGCCUCCUCCGACCGGCCGCCCCCGAACGUGGGAUGCUUCCACCGUGGAGGUGGGGGAAAAAAAAUCUCAGGCCGGCCCCAACGGCUGCCUUCGCUUCGCCUCGUCGAGAAACGUGGCUUCCCUCAGAGACACCGCCGGUCACCACACCCAUAUGACUUUAUAAUCUCACUGAAACACUAGUAACACAAUAAGCAGAUAAGGGAUCUUACAGAAUUAUUAUAGUAAAUGUGUCUAAUAACAUCUGAAUCGCUCCCACUGCCCUCGCCUUUAUUUUUUUUUCUUCUAGUCCUUCACUCUCACUUUCCUCAUCCACAAAUCUUCCAUCUACACUCAAAUUAAUGGGGAAAUCGUCACUUUCUCAGUCCGAAUCGCUCUCGCUGCUGGUGGCCAUGACUGUAAACAAUGUGAGGAGCUCUACAACCCGUGACGUCACACGCACAUCGUCCCGCUACUUCCGGUAAAGGCAAGUCUUUUUUAUUAGCGACCAAAAGUUGAGAACUUUAUCGUCGAUGUUCUCUACUUAAUCCUUUCAGCAAAAAUAUGGCCAUAUCGCGAAAUGAUCAAGUAUGACACAUAGAAUGGACCUGCUAUCCCCGUUUGAAUAAGAAAAUCUCAUUUCAGUAGGCCUUUAAUGUUGAUGAAAAUGUGACGUCAGCCGGAGGCUCACCUGUUUCAAAUUAUGACGUAUCAGAUUAACAUUGUACAAUCGAAUAUGAAUAAAAACAAAAGACCAACCUUA